rnacentral:rRNA from 1 species
GCCAGACUCCUACGGGAGGCAGCAGUGGGGAAUAUUGCACAAUGGGGGAAACCCUGAUGCAGCGACGCCGCGUGAAGGAAGAAGUAUCUCGGUAUGUAAACUUCUAUCAGCAGGGAAGAAAGUGACGGUACCUGACUAAGAAGCCCCGGCUAACUACGUGCCAGCAGCCGCGGUAAUACGUAGGGGGCAAGCGUUAUCCGGAUUUACUGGGUGUAAAGGGAGCGUAGGCGGCGAUGCAAGUCAGAAGUGAAAGCCCGGGGCUCAACUCCGGGACUGCUUUUGAAACUGUAUGGCUAGAUUGCAGGAGAGGCAAGUGGAAUUCCUAGUGUAGCGGUGAAAUGCGUAGAUAUUAGGAGGAACACCAGUGGCGAAGGCGGCUUGCUGGACUGUAAAUGACGCUGAGGCUCGAAAGCGUGGGGAGCAAACAGGAUUAGAUACCCCAGUAU